AGGAGCGGCCAGGCACCACGCGUGCGGGUGGGCACCCGGGGCGCACGGGAGCCGCUAGGGCGCAGGGUUCGUGCGCCCAGGUGGACACGUGCUCACUGGGGACCUGCAGAAGCCAGCCCAAGGCCCUCAGUUUACUAAAACAGGAGACAGUACUAAAGUGCAUCCUUUGUGCCAGGCCCUGGGCUGGAUAUGAGAGAUGGAGAAGCUCCGGUCUAAAAGGAAAGAAAAGGCAUCGGUGGAGCUGUUUGGGUCAUAAAUCCAAGCCAACACCAGAUUUGACAUCCC